rnacentral:rRNA from 1 species
UGGGGAAUAUUGCACAAUGGGCGCAAGCCUGAUGCAGCGACGCCGCGUGAGGGAUGAAGGCCUUCGGGUUGUAAACCUCUUUCAGUAGGGAAGAAGCGAAAGUGACGGUACCUGCAGAAGAAGCGCCGGCUAACUACGUGCCAGCAGCCGCGGUAAUACGUAGGGCGCAAGCGUUAUCCGGAAUUAUUGGGCGUAAAGAGCUCGUAGGCGGUUUGUCGCGUCUGCCGUGAAAGUCCGGGGCUUAACUCCGGAUCUGCGGUGGGUACGGGCAGACUUGAGUGAUGUAGGGGAGACUGGAAUUCCUGGUGUAGCGGUGAAAUGCGCAGAUAUCAGGAGGAACACCGAUGGCGAAGGCAGGUCUCUGGGCAUUAACUGACGCUGAGGAGCGAAAGCAUGGGGAGCGAACAGGAUU